UUUUCCGGGCGAGACACCGGUGCGAGAACACGUUUUAUUAUAUUCUGCAAGAUUUCCUUUAAACAAAAUGGGUUUCGGAGAUCUUAAAAAGAAGGAGGGUUUAUCAGUGCUCAAUGCUUAUCUAGCUGACAAAAGCUACAUUGAAGGGUUUCAGCCCUCCCAGGCAGAUGCUGUUGUGUUUGACGCCCUUUCAGGCCCUCCCUCGGCUGAUCUAGAAAACGCCCUCCGUUGGUACAACCACAUCAAGUCAUAUGGGGCGGCGAGAUCAUCCUUCACUGGACGUAAGAAGGACCUGUCCGCCUAUGGACCAGCAGGAAGUGGAGCCCCAGCUGCCGGUGGUGAUGAUGACGAUGAUGAUGAUGACAUCGACCUCUUCGGAUCUGACGAUGAAGACGCCAAGGCAGAGAGAGAAAGACGACUUGCAGAAUACGCAGCCAAAAAGGCCAAGAAACCCGCCCUGAUUGCCAAGAGUAGUCUCCUCCUUGACGUGAAGCCCUGGGAUGACGAGACAGACAUGGCAGAACUAGAGAAGUGUGUGCGGACAAUCGAGGCCGACGGACUUCUGUGGGGAGCUUGUAAGUGUCUGUCAAUCCUGUGAUUCCCCUCGCACAACUUGUUGAUGAAGAGGGAAUAAAGAAUCACCAAGUGUGUGAAUGUGGGUGUGUUAGUGUGCUAGAAGUGAGUGCGCAGCAUCGAGGUUGAUGGACUUCUGUGGAGAGCUUGUAAGUGUCUGUCGAUCCCAUCGUGCAACUUGUUGAUGAAGGGGGGAUAAAUCAUCAACAGUUGUUUGAAUGUGGGUGUGUUAGUGUGGGAAAGCUUGAUGGUAAAAUUGAAAUGAAACCUAGCACAACUUGGUAAAGCAUAGCUAAUUUGUGUGCAUGUUGGGGGGGGGGGGGGGGUUAGUGUACAAAAGCUUGUGAGCAAAAUUUAAAGAAACCCUAGUGCAACUUGGUGAUAGAGGGAAGAUGGAGCAUAGCCAUUUUUAUGUUGUGUAUGUUGCGGGGUUAGUGUACAAAAGCUUGUGGGGAAAGAGUAAAAAAAAGAAAAUCCUAGCACUUUGAAUCACUUAACUUUGCUUACUUCUUUAGCAGUGUUAUUUGUAACUUGUGGGAGAGAAGGUAUAUAGUACUACUGUGUGUUUCGGGAGUACUGUAUCUUGUAGUCUACAUUGAAAAAAAAAUCUUGCCACUAAGAUCAUUAAGCUUUGCGCUGUUAUUUGUAACUGCAUGUUGUUGAGGGCAUUGCUAACUGUGUCAGCGUGUUUGGGGGGAAAAUCUACAAAAGUUUGUUGGCCAGAUUGAAAAUUUUUUUUUUGAAUCAUUAUACAUUGAAUACUUCAGAGGCAUUAUUAAUAAUGUAACUUAAACCCUUUUUAUUACCGAUUUAAAAAAUUAUCAGUGAAUUAUUCUUAGAAUUUUAGUAUUGUCAAUUUCAUGUAUCAUACUAGUAUGUAUAUACAACUCAAUUUUCUAUACCACUGUCCAGUUAUUUUACUUGAUUCACAACACAUUCAAGAUAUGUUUCCAUUUAUUUGGCAGCUAGCAAGAUUGUAUUUAUAUGGAGGAAUCAAUGGGACAUUUUGAGAUAUUAACAUGUUUGAAAGGACUAGCUUUUGGAAUAAAAGUCUUUGUAGAAUAUUGUUUAUAGAUCCUGUGUCAAGAUUUUUUCUACAAAAGCAAUUCACAGAAUAUUUGUUUUGCAGCCAAACUAGUUCCAGUAGGAUACGGAAUCCGAAAACUUCAGAUCAACGCCGUUAUUGAGGAUGACAAGAUCAGCACAGACUUUUUAGAAGAUGAAAUAACAAAAUUUGAGGACUAUGUACAGUCCAUGGACAUUGCUGCAUUUAACAAAAUUUAAAUAAAACUUGUUUAUAUU
rnacentral:misc_RNA from 1 species